GAUGAACGCUGGCGGCGCGCCUAACACAUGCAAGUCGAACGGCACCCCUCUCCGGAGGGAAGCGAGUGGCGAACGGCUGAGUAACACGUGGAGAACCUGCCCCCCUCCCCCGGGAUAGCCGCCCGAAAGGACGGGUAAUACCGGAUACCCCGGGGUGCCGCAUGGCACCCCGGCUAAAGCCCCGACGGGAGGGGAUGGCUCCGCGGCCCAUCAGGUAGACGGUCGGGGUGACGGCCCACCGUGCCGACAACGGGUAGCCGGGUUGAGAGACCGACCGGCCAGAUUGGGACUGAGACACGGCCCAGACUCCUACGGGAGGCAGCAGUGGGGAAUCUUGCGCAAUGGGGGGAACCCUGACGCAGCGACGCCGCGUGCGGGACGGAGGCCUUCGGGUCGUAAACCGCUUUCAGCAGGGAAGAGACGAGACUGUACCUGCAGAAGAAGCCCCGGCUAACUACGUG
rnacentral:rRNA from 1 species